UCAACCACUCUUGCUUUGCAUUUGAGAAUUUAAGUCACUUGACCAAAGUCAGACAACAGUGAUUAUAUUACUACAGUGAUUCUGGAGUGUUCUCAACAAAUAAUAACCUCAGAAACAAGUAGGCACUUGGAGACAUUGGGCUGUGGAUUCAGGUUGCCUAGGUUUGAAUCCUAGUCCCAACAUUUACUAAGGCUCUCUGAUAGUGGGCACAUUAUUUAACUUCCUCAGACCUGUUUCCCCAUCUACAAAAUUGGAUUACCUAUGCUCCAAGGUUUGUGAUCUAGAAUUCAACUAAUAAAUUCAGGCAAAUUAUUCCAAUUAUAUUAAGCACUAGUACUCAAAGCUGACAUUUGAGGCUCAAAUGGAGUGUCUUCUUAGCUUUUGUCUCCUGUCAUUUCAGCCCUAAGCCGAAAUCCAAAAAUAAUGGGAAAAUUCUAUGCCCUGAUAUAACACAGAAUUAUAAAGGAAGCUACAAUAUCCCAUACUCCUUGCUUCAUACUCUAGAAUCCAUUUAAAUGAGGUUUAAAAUUGUUCCGGUUGAGUCAUUCCUUCCAGUCAAGGCAUAUUCUAUCUGAAGGACUCAAAUUAAUUAGCUACAGUUAACAGAUUAUUAAGUCAACUGGCUUCUACGGAGAUGGUGGGAGAGGCCAUGUGGGUACACCAUGAGAAGUCUGUCAUCUACAGGAAAGGAAGAGAGCCCUCCCAGGAAACUGACUUUGCCAGACUUUGACCUGGAACGUCUAUUCUCCAGAACUGUCACAAAUGAAGAUUCUGAAAGAGAAGACAGAAUCACUGAGAGAAACUGGGAAGAGGUAAAUAGUGUUACAGAGGAUACUUUACUAGAAAAUGGAUAAAGAAAAGAAAUAACAUGGUCCUUGAGAAGUUGUAAACAUAAAGAACCACAUCCUUUGGAUAUAAUUGGGCUCCUUCUUCAUAGGCUGGGGGUGUAUACAAAGAGGAUAAUGGCAUUAAACCAGCAAGGAAGUGUUGCUCUCCAGGAUAGAAUGUACGAUUAGUAGAUGAGAAACUGAGACUCAUGGAGGCUCAACAUGAAGAUGAUGAAAAUGGAGACCUUCAUCGUGAUCCACUUCUAAUUAAUGAAUAGGAGGCUUGGGCCGAACUGGGUGAUCAGACAUCAUACACAGAGAAGGAGCAAGAGAGAGAUUACACAGAGGAGGAACAAGGUGUGCAGCGGACAGCCAGUGCCAAGACCUCAGACACGUAACAAUUCAUUGAAAUUGGAAUGUAAGAUGAAACUGACAAGCAAUAGUAGCCAGAAUCCUGGAGUGAAUAGACAUGGAGAAGAGCUGCCUUUUCUUCUCAACUGACAAGUCACGUGGGGGAAAUAAAUCCCUUGAGGACAGUGAAGAAAUAACUUUGAGAUCACCUUCCCAUCCUUCCGAUUUCUUCAAUGAGAGCUUAAAUGGAUUUUCAAAAAAUCAGGGAGCUUGGACAAAAAGUUGAAACAAGUUCAUAUCCUAAGCAUGAUGAAUAAGCCAUGGCAGCUUACACAGACUUGAAGGCCAACCACCUAUGGGCUAGCACAAAGGAGUUCAGCCUUUUUUGAAGUGGGUGGUUUGACCUCUCUUUAUUGUGGAAGCAAAGCAAAUGGCCCCAAACCAUCUGGAUCUGCUGUUAUCACUAGAGGAAUUAUUGCCCAGAAUGUGGACCAAAGGUUAGAAGACUCCACAUUGGAAUCCUGGGUCCGCCGUUAAAUAAUGAGGAACAAGCACUACCUCAUAGAGAAAUGGAAACUCCAAAAGAUUAAGCAAGAAGCCCAUAGGAACACAAUUAGUAGAGGACUGAAUAAUAUUUCACUGUCCUGAUGUACCAAGUUUAUCCAUUCACCUACUGAAGGACAUCUUGGUUGUUCUAUGUUUUGGCAAGUAUGAAUAAAGCUGCUAUAAAUGUUUAUAGGCAAUGUUAACACAGAGCUGGUGAUAGCAGGAGACGGAU
rnacentral:lncRNA from 1 species